CUCAGAAAGCACAGCCAUGAUGUCAGAGGACAUGAGUGGCUCCUUCUCCAGAGUGGGUUGGCAGCUGCCAAGCUCAUGGGGGUGCUGGGAGGGCCAGGCCUGCAGAAGGACUCUGGACAGCUGGAAGGAGAGUGCUGGGCAGGAAGGGCCGUCAAAGAGUCAGGGUUUGCUCUAAGCUGCAUUUUAUGGAAGGACUUUGGCUUGACAAAGAAGACACCACAGUGACAUCUUUACAGGGCAUUUCCCCCCGACCCAGCCCCAAAAAUCCUGGUUGACAAGAUGCCAUCACCUCGGUCUGAAAAGCCAAAGUAUGGAUUAUGUGGAAGACUCAGAGGAGAAGAGCAGCCCUAUAAGGGGGUUUCCGUAAACCAGAAAAAAAUCUGUAACCAGCUAGGCCCCAAAAAGGUCAUGGCACUGGCCUGGCAGAGAGGUGGGUGUGGCUGGGUCUGCUGGGACUGCACACUGUUGGGACACCCCACCUUCACCCUGACCUCUUCCCUGCCCAGCUCCCUUGCCCCAAACAUUCCCCCUGGUGCCAUGGAGGCUACACUGUCAGAAAGUGAGCUGAGCCUGGUAGGGCUGUCUAGCACACAGAACUGCCAGUCGUAACAGGCAUCACUAAGCUGCAAGUCAAACAGUGAAGCACUGGGCUGCAGAAGAGACAUACAGAUCCCCGGGUCACUGGACAUACAAUCACUGACCUAGAUAGAUGUACUGUUGAUUAAUUAACAAAUUAAUGCAGAAAGGAGAGAAUAUGUAAUAAAUGGUGUUCAAAAAAAUUUUAGUUGGAUUAAUAUCUUAAAUGUAAAAAUAGAAACCCUGGAAGGGUCCAAAAAAGUAUAAGCAAAUGUGUAUAUAAUCUUGCAGUGGGUUAAGUCUUUUUUUUUUAGACAGAGUUUCGCUCGUGUUGCCCAGGCUGAAGUGCAGUGACACAAUCUCGGC
rnacentral:lncRNA from 10 species